GUUAAACAGUGACCAAGGGGAGAUAGAGAGGUUAUCACCAUGCAAACUGUGCCAAGGUUCUGUAACAAUCAAGAACACGUGGACACCUACCUGUGGGAGGAGGCUUGGGGGAAACACUGUUUCUGGUUGCUGCUGAAGCCAGCAUUCUGGAGAUGGACAGCUGCUCAAGGAAAUGAAGGGAGAUUUUGUAAAUUGCAGAUUCUAAGCAGGACAAGAACUGUUGCUUCCCUGAGUUGGCCUGCUUUUCCAGAGUAUCUUAAAAGGUCUCUUGAAACAAAUAAAAUACUCAGAACUUCUGGGACUGUCACAGACAGUGUCCUGUUACUGGCUUUAAACAGUCCCUCAUGAGGAAGAAGCCCUAUAUCCUGAAGUCAGAUGUCAAUCAUCCUGGGAAGACUCAACCAAGAAUACAUGCUUAGAAGAAAACUGUUUCAAGCAUCCCCAUUUACGUGGAUGUAUCUGCACAGUCCUCCCUUUCCACAAACACCAACACUGAAGCCCCGAUGCUGGGAGGCUCUGAAUUAAGACCCUGGAGAAGAACUGCCAAGGGGAUUUACUUUUAAGGAAGCCCAUGAUCCUAUAAGAGUGAUCAUCAGUGUAAAUCAAAUCAAACGACUUGGAUGCUCUCUCCGGCUCUCAAUCUCCAACACCCAGAAGAGGUGUCAUAUGGCGGUUUUUUCCUCUGCACCACAUCUUCCAACUAUGAUGUCUAUCAUCAAAAAGUCCAGAGCAAUGAGACAGAUACCACCAUAACUCCCAGCAUAAAGAGAAAGCAUGACCCUAGACGUGGAGUGAAUUGAGUGUGCAGGUUCCUACGAGUUCACUGCGGUUCCAGUGGGGAUUGGGCAGGCUCCAAGCACUAAAUAACCCUAAUGAUAUCAGGACUGGUCCUGUUUGCUCCAUCUUAACAUUGUUGGUUAACAGUGGACUCUGACUUUCAUGAGGAUGACUGGACAUCCACUGGGACUCCAGGAGGCUGCCCUUCGCUGCUUUGACUUUGUUCUGUCAGACUUGAUAAGAUUUUGACUUCCUGUUAAAACCUGCCAUCGGGUGUUCAGCAGGAGAGUGAGAGAGUGUCAAGCACACUGUACCAGCAUCAGAGGCUGAGCCUGCCAGCAGAGCUGACUCUGAUGGACACGUGCUUCCUAGGGUGAGUGGACAGGAUUAAGAGCGGCUUUUGUUGGAACACCCGCGAAAGGUAGUUUCGUUCAGCGCGUAUGUCAUAAGCACACACGUGUAAGACGGGACAGUCUUAGAUGAUACCAAAUUGGGACAGAUGAUGCCCACGUGUGAGUCUCCAGGAUUCUGAGGCAUAGGGCUCUGGAAAUAAGCUGCCAGAUCUUGUCCUUGUGCCUCUAAUGAGAUUAUGGCCACUCCAUGACUACUCCCUCUCAUGAAAUAUUUUCAUCAUUUGGAAGACAGAAAUUAUUUUUUUACUAUUUCCACUUUCUGAAAUUGAAAAAAGAAAGCUCUCAGGUGAAAUCCCUGAAGACACCGAGCUCUCUCUCUCUCUCUCUCUCUCUCUCUCUCUCUCAUGCUUAGAGGUUACUGGACUGCCGGCAUCAUCUACCUCAGAAACAUCUCCCCCAGCAGUGCUCUCUGCCACUGUUACAGAAGAAGGCAAAAUUAUGAGCACUCAUGCAUCUGGUCAAUUACACACUGCUCCACCACCAAGGCAAAUUCCUUCUCCACUUCAGCUGGUGCACAGCGAUGCCCUGGAGCCCAGGACGGACAUGCCUUGUAACUUUUUAACCUAGUUAGUGUAGCUGCCAAUAUUAUUCCCGUUCAUAUAAAUGUCUAAUCCUUUCUUGAAUCUUGCUAGACUAUUUCCCUCAAUAGUAUCCUGCAGCAGUGAAUUCCAAAGGUGUGUUAUACGCUGCUUUAAAAACAUUUCCUCUAUUCGUUUUAAAUUUGUUGCCUUUUAACGUCACAGCGUGGCCGGCGCUCUGGCCUUAAGUGGAACAGGUUAAAGGCAGAGCUGCACGUCCCCCCAGCACUUUCUCCGUCUUCUCUCAGUAUUUUCUGUCUUGUCACUUAUAACCGUGAUUAAGCGAGAUGAUUUGACUAAGUGGUUUUAUGCUACCUGGGACACAGAGAAGGCAUUGGCUCAAAAGCUUUCCUUGAUACUCAGUAUGAUUUAUUAGAUAAAUAUUUACCCAGUACCUAUUUGAGUAGGAACUGUUUCAGUUUUGGAGAGACAUCUUUGAAUAAGACUAGGCCAUUGUUCAGUAGGACCUGAAUUUUCUUGGGAGGAAAUGGGCAGUAACGUGUGUGUAAAUUAUUAGGUGCCAUUUAAGGGUCAAAAAAGAUCUAUCCACCCUCCACAUCCUCAAAGUCUACCAGACUUGGCCUGGUUUCUUGCUGUUCCCUCCCCCCCCUAUAAUCUGUAGCACUAUAAUUAUUUACAUAGCAUUUACAUUGCAUUAAGUAUUACAAGCUAUCUGCAAAUGAUUAACGUGCAUGCAAGCAUGUGCAUAAAUUAUAUCAAGUUCCAUAUCAUGCAAUGGAAGGGACUUCAACAUCAUGUGAUUUUAGGGUCUUUGGGUGAGGGAGUGUUUUUUUUUUGAAAAGGGGGUGGUUGGGCCAGGCCACCUAUCAGUCAUCUAUGUGACAUCUGUGGCUGUGUGUUAUUUGUUGAGUAUGCGAAUGAAUCCAGACGAAGAAAGGUCAUUUUAGUUAACGUUGUCACACUAGAUCUGGGAGGAAAAGUUCUCUAAUGCUUCUUAUAACUCCCAAGAGUGUUGGAGUACACAAAGGAUGGGAUUUAGACAGAAAGAUUCUAGUUGCAAGACCUAAGGUGCUCUGUCUAAGCAGCUGAGUGACCUUGGGCAGGUCACCUCAUUGCUCAAAUCCACAGCAUUCUUCUUCAUAAAAAAUAGGAAGUAAGUUUUCUUCUUUCUUGGGGCUUUGAGUACUUAGGGACCAUUAUCUGGAAGUUUUUUUUUUUUUUUUUUCUUUCAUCUUUUAUCAUUUUUUUUUUCUUUACAGUCCAGUCAUUAUCCCCCUCAGGGUCUUCCCUCCAACAGUUCCUCAUCCCAUUCCUCUUCCUUUGUCUCCAGAGGAUGUAGUCACCCUCCCACCUACCUCUCCAAGCCUCCCCGUUCCCUGGGUCUUGGAAGUUCUUUAAAAAACUGCCAAAUUGUGUAAAUGCUGUAGAACUUUGGUCCUUAUUUUAUUUAAAAAUUUGUUUCUAGAUAAGGUCUUGAGUAAUCCAGACUGACUUCAAAUUCAUUCAAAAGCUGGGGAUGGCCUUGAACUCCUGAUUUCCCUCAUCUGCCUCUGUGUACCUCCAUGUCCCUUUAUGCGGUGCUGGGAGUCGAAGCCAGGACUUCCUGCAUUCUAGGCACUUUUCCAACUAAGCUACAUCCUACAACUAAGAGACCUGGUUAUCCUUGCAAUUGUUCUUCCACGGGAUUCAUUUCAGGCAUGUGCAGGAAACCACACCCACAGCUGCACCAACCAGCUGGUCUUUCAUUCUUCCCCUUUUGUCUUCCUUGUUUUAUCAGUUCCUUAACUUAUCCCUGCCUUUCCUGACAGCCCAUCAAUGGCACCUUGGAAGUGCCUACCCACCCUCACAGCUAACUUUGAGCUUGUGAUCUGUUUUUUGUUUUUGUUUUCUUUUUUCUUUUUCUUUUUCAUUUUGGUUUUUCAAGACAGGGCCCUGGAUGUCCUGGCACUUACUCUGUAGACCAGACUGGCCUUGGACUCAGAAAUCCGCCUGCCUCUGCCUCCCAAGUGCUGGGAUUAAAGGGGUGUGCCACCACUGCCUGCCAUGAUAUUUCUUAAGGAUUUAAAAAAACGGAAUCACCUGAAGUUCUUACUCAUUGAUUCAGUGGACUGGAGGUGAUUACUUGCUAGUAUUUUGUUUAAUGCUUCGUCAUCUUGGGUCAGGCUAUCCAGACGUCUACACAUAAAGGCAGAGUCUUUGCCUGAAUUUCUGAGUGAAGGCCUCCCAAGAAACCACACUUUGACCCAAUUACCUGUCUUUAGCUUUCCCAGGACUACAUUCCAAUGUGGUAAGUAUAUACCAUUUCCUUGUGUAGCCUGUCAUGAUUUUUUCCAAUUGUUCCUUAAUGCACCCCUCCCCGGCCACCUUACUGAGGCAAUUUGAAGUAGAGUCAUGAACAACCCCACAUAAUCUUGUACUUAAAAGGCAUCUCAAUAAAUUAUUAGGAUUGUUUACAUGCAUGGUUUGAAUUUACUGGCAAAUGGCUUGGGCCUUGGUUUUAGGAUGUAGCUGCCGGCCAGGCUCCUUCUGGGUGAAAGUCUGAAAUAGGAGAGGUUGCCCUUUGCUGUCCCUCACCAGCACUUCCUCUCCCUGGUUCCUGGCCUUUCAACACCUCCCUCCUUUCCCUGCCCUGAAUAACUCUGAGGGGCUGACAGGCCUUUUGCACCUUCAUGUGAAGACGUUUUGUGGGUCCCUUCCCAGAUCUGCCCCCAACCAAGGUGAGGUGCGCAAAGAAAUAAAUCUUCAAUGGUAUAAUUUUAGAUGCUCCGGCAGCUGAGAGGGCAGCUAUUUUUGGUCUGUAGGGCGUUCUCCUUGACCCGAGGUGACACGGUUUUGCCUGUUGCUAGAGUAGCCAGCCAGCCCUGCAGAGCGUCCUUUUAGCCGCAUGCUUGCAGUUCCUGGGGUGGCUUCUUCAUGCCCUCUACUGAGGUUCGUGCUCAUCCAGAAUUUUGUGUCCUCACCUCGUGCAGGGGUAAGCGUCUGUUGACAGGAGCCGUCGUAGGCUCGUUGCAGCGUUAACACUGCAGCCCAGCCUGAGGAGGCAAUAUAGAUGGAGCUGACCCCCUCCAUGCAGAAGAUGGAGGAAAACCAAUGGUCCAGUUCUUGUGUGUUCCUCAGUCUCCAUGGUUUAUCAGCUGCUUGGCCACCGUGCUAUGAGUCACCCCUACUUGGAUCCAGGCUCCUGAUGCAGCUGCUAUCUGCAGACCUCCUGGACUGCCCGGGGAAGGGAGUGGGAGCUCCUGCCACAGAUGGGUGGAACAUCGACAAGAAGGGCUAAAGGUGGCCAAAAAUAACAGUGCCUUCCAGAUGAGGUGACCUCAGAGCCAAGAGCAUCAUGGGGUAGAGUAUCUUGUUCCCAGUUUUAUGACCUAAAAAGUACACAGAAGAUGCAAAGAUACUACAGAGAGAAGGAACAAAGUCUGCAGAGAACAGGGAAAGGCGAUUACGUAUCAUAUUUUUUAAAAUAGGAUUUUGUUGUACAUGACCACAAAAGAAAACACAGCCUUUUAUACAUGUUUGAAGAGAGAGCUAGAGCUAUAGAUAGAAAAAUGAUAGAUAGAUUAAUAGAUAGAUGGUCAAUAGAUAGAUGAUCAAUAGAUAGAUAAGUAGGUAGGUAGAUAGAUGAUAGACAGAACCAAACACAAUAGAAGACCAAAAGGAGAAAAAGAUAGAGAUGAUAUUGCCUUCCUUUGUUUGCUAUUGAAACAAACUUAAUAAAUCCUCAUUGAGACUCAA
ensembl:processed_transcript